rnacentral:rRNA from 1 species
UGAGCAAUCUGCCCUUCUCUUCGGAAUAAGCGUGGGAAACCGCGUCUAAUGCCGAAUACGACCUCCUUUCGCAUGAUUGGAGGUGGAAAGCUCCGGCGGAGAAGGAUGAGCUCGCGGCCUAUCAGCUAGUUGGUGUGGGUAAUGGCCCACCAAGGCGACGACGGGUAGCCGGCCUGAGAGGGUGACCGGCCACACUGGGACUGAGACACGGCCCAGACUCCCGUACGGGGAGG